UAUAAAAAUAAAAUUUGCAAGUUUUAAUAUAUAUUACUUUUAAAAAAUAAAUCGUCCCGCAGUAUAUCACAUGUUAAAAUCUAGUUUAU
rnacentral:sRNA from 1 species